rnacentral:rRNA from 1 species
AGCGAACGCUGGCGGCAGGCCUAACACAUCCAAGUCGAGCGGCCGUAGCAAUACGGCAGCGGCAGACGGGAGAGUAACACGUGGGAACGCGCCCUUCGGUUCGGAAUAACUCAGGGCAACUUGAGCUAAUACCGGAUACGCCCUUACGGGGCAGGAUUUAGUGCCGAAGGAACGGCCCGCGUCCGAUUAGCUGGUGGGUGAGGUAACGGCUCACCAAGGCGACGACCGGUAGCUGGUCUGAGAGGCUGAGCAGCCUCACUGGGACUGUGAAACGGCCCAGACUCCUACGGGAGGCAGGAGUGGGGAAUAUUGGACAGUGGGCCCAAGCCUGAUCCAGCCAUGCCGCGUGUGUGAUGAAGGCCUUAGGGUUGUAAAGCCGUUUCAGCGGGGAAGGUAAUGACGGUACCCGCAGAAGAAGCCCCGGCUAACUUCGUGCCAGCAGCCGCCGUAAUAC